rnacentral:lncRNA from 1 species
GAUAAUGGUAGCAUUUUAUUUAGUGUUGUAGUUGAGACAUCAUUACUUUGUGGGUGGAGCCUUUUAUAGUCUACUUAUGUGUUGUUUUAUUGUGGGAUUCACCUAUGACCUUGUACAUUCUACAACUGAGUUAUAUCUUUAGUUUUGAGACAGUUUCACUAGGUAGCCCAGGCUGGCCUAGAAUGUUCUAUUGUAGACCAACCUGACCUUAAGCUCUUGGUGACCUUCCUGCUUUUGCCUCCCACAUGCUAAGAUUAUUGGCAUUAGUCACCAUACCUUGCUUACCUUUUUUGAGGCAAGAUCUCAUGAGGCUAGCCUUGAACUUAUCCUUUCAAGUACAAGGAUUUCAGCUGUGUACCACCAUGCUCAGUUUUAUGUGCUGAUGGGACUUGAACUUGGGGCUUUAGGCAAGCACUCUAGCAACUGUAGAGAUAUAUCCCAGCCCUGGCUUGACUUUUUAAAAGUUUGUAUUUUAUUCAUAGGAGUCUUUUAUGUGCAUCUGUGUACCACUGGCUUGACUGGUGCCUGAGUAGUCUAGAAGAGGGUGUCAGAUCAUCUUAUAGAUGGCCAAGAGCUGCCAUAUGGUGGAUCUUCUUGAAGAACAGUCAGUGCUCUUAACUGCUGAGUCAUCUCUAUCUUCCCUUGGCCAAUAAAUUGUAAAAGAUAGAUGUUCAACACCAUAAGAAAAUGCAAAUCAAAACUGCUGAGAUUCUAUUUACUUAUUCAGAAUGACACUCUUUUUUUAAAGAUUUAUUUAUUAUAUGUAAGUACACUGUAGCUGUCUUCAGACACUCCACAAGAGGGCAUCAAAUCUUGUUACGGGUGGUUGUGAGCCACCAUGUGGUUGCUGGGAUUUGAACUCAGGACCUUUGGAAGAGCAGUCGGUGCUCUUACCCGCUGAGCCAUCUAACCAACCCCCAGAAUGGUACUCAUUAAGGAAGGAGUAACAAUGAAUACUGGCAAGGAUGUGGGGAAAAGGGAACCCUCCUUAUUGCUUGUGUGAAGGUAAGCUUGGGCAGCUACUAUAGAAGCCAAACUAUACCAUACCUGGCUAUUUACUCUAAGGACUUCCUAUCAACUCUUGGAGAGAUACUUCUACAUAGCUGUAGACUAUAUUCACCACAACUAAGUUAGGAAACCAGCCUAGUUGGCCAAGAGAGGAAUAGAUAGAGAAUCUGUGCUACAUGUAGAAAAGGCAUUUUUUAAAAUCAUGUUGUCUAUAGGAAACUGGAUACAACUGGAAAUAGUCAUUAAGGGAACUUACAAAACAAAUUUUUUUUUUUUGCUCAUAUUUUGUCUGUAAAUUUUGUGGAAAUAAACAGAACCAUUCAAUCGUAUGUUACAUGGCUGUAGAAGUAAAGCAAAGGAGAAGAAGCCAAGCUUUGGGGAGGUAUAGGUGAGAUUAUCCUGAACAUAAUGCAUACUUAAAGCAUCUCUUGAAACUUUGCUUUAUAGCAGACACGAGUGUUCGCGCGGAUUCCCAGGCCAUUCUGUGAGAAGGGAACCUUGUGACAGAAGCCUCAUGUUUCCUCCCGCCUAGGGACACAUUUGCUGAUAGCAUCUCACAGGGAAGUAGAGUCUGAGCACAGCACGUAAGUGUUGCUGGACCUGGGGCAGAGGUCAGAACUGGAGUUUCAGAGAGGAAGAAAAGCACAGGGUCCCCCAGCUGUCUCUUGGAGCCUUCCUUGUGGGUCAUUCAUUAACAACUAGCUUGAACAUUCACAGGGUGACAUUUUUCCAGGCCUAGAAACAAUUCUAGCUGCUGUGGAGUUGAACAAGAAGAGAAAUCCUAGAGGUCAUACAGUGUCGCAGCUCUUGAGACUCUGACCUAGCCAGAGUGGAGUCAGCUUAACACCCAGACAUUCAGUUGAAAAGCCACCACCCUUGAGAACCUGUCCCUGAGUAAGAGCUGUUCUCUGUACCGAGGCUUAACAAAGCCUAAAUUGUGCUCCACUGGGAGCAAGGAAAGUUACUGUGGCCCAAAACAAUGGUCUCCUUUUUUUAAAAGAACAAAACAAACAAACAAAAAAAAAAACCUUUUUUUUUUUUUUUUUUUUGAGAUAGGGUCUCACGUAGCUCCUCUCCCCUUUUUCUCUUCAUCUUUUUCUCUUUCUUUCAGCGGUUGUUUUGUUUUUGUUUUUUGAAGCAAGGUUUCGUUCACCUUUAUAGCUCUGGAUGGCCUGCACUCAAUGUGAGGCUGGCCUCAGACUUGAGUACAAGGAUCAGCAAAUUUGGUUUGUUUUGAUUUGUUUUUGUUUUUUUGAGGCAGAGUUUCUCUCUAUUGCCCUGGCUGUCCUGGAACUCACUUUGUAGACCAGGCUGGCCUUGAACUCAGAAAUCCGCCUGCCUCUGCCUCCCGAGUGCUGGGAUUAAAGGCGUGUGCCACCAUGCCCAGCCAAGGAUUGAUGAAUUUGGGAAUGAGGCAGAAGAAUCAGGAGUUCAAGGCCAGUUUUAGCUACAUAGAGAAUUUAAGGCCAGCCUGGGCUAUAUGAGAGGAUUUCUAGAGGCAGAAACUAGAUCGUUUUAGUGUAGACUUGAAUGUUAGAUGGAAAUGUCCUGUUGGAUUUUAACAAUGGUCACACAGCGCUUGUUAUAGAACUAGAAAGUACAAGUGUUAAAAGGUUUUGUUCCAGAAUGACUGGUACAUGAUAGAAAAUUUUAAAAAGGCAGGACUGGAUUAAGUUCAUCUGGCCUUAGGAUGAAAGUUAUUUAGGGGAAUAUUGGGACUCCAGCCCCAUCCUGUGUCUUUUGUGUAUCAGGCAUUGGAUGAAUAGUGUUGCCCCAUGCUACAGCCAUGAUAUGGGACCUCAUUGCAGGCUCAUAAGCAAUAUAGUAAAUAUUAUCAGGUACUUCCAGUUUUAAAUGAAAGGUAAAACAUAUACUCAAACUAGCUUUAUAAUUCCCAACUAGAGCCAGACAUGGUGGAUCACGCUUGUAAUCCUAGGACUUGGAAGGCUGGGGCAGGAGUAUCGCCACGAAUAUAAGGCUAGCCCAAACUAGAGAGUGAAAUCCUGUCUGAAAGAAAAUACAUAAAAUUAGCCAACAAUCAGAAAUGAUCGAAAUGUUUAGACUUGUCACUGAAUAAACAAAAUGUCAUAUAGUCAUUUGGUGGCAUACUAUGUUGCAAUAAAAGGAACACAUGAAUACAUAUUACAACAUGUGAAGCCACAAAAGCAACAGAAGGGCUGAUGUUACUCACAAGGGUGUGUAACUCGAGUUCUAGGGGUUCUUGCACCCCCUCCUGUCCUCUGGGUACUGGAUGUACAUAUUGCAUACAUGUAAAUGCAGGUGCUCAACAGCUACAAAGAACCAUGUUGUCUAAUAUUCCAUUUAUGAUAAAUAUUCAAGAAUGAUGAAUUUAUAGAGACAGAAUUCUCUUAGUCUUGAGGAAGUAAAAAUUAGCUGUGGGUAGAAUUUCAUCAGAGGAAAUUCCUUAUAACCAAAUUUCAUCUAUUCCAAAACUCAUAUUAGAUUUUGAAGAUGGUCAUGCAGCUUUGUAAACUUGCCAAAAAAAAAAUCUGUUACAAUUAUAACUGAAUUUUGUGCUUUCAAAAUGACACCUCAAUAAAGCAAUUUUUAC